rnacentral:rRNA from 1 species
GACGAACGCUGGCGGCGUGCCUAAUACAUGCCAGUUGAGCGCUGAAGGUUGGUACUUGUACCGACUGGAUGAGCAGCGAACGGGUGCGUAACGCGUGGGGAAUCUGCCUUUGAGAGGGGGACAACAUUUGGAAACGAAUGCUAAUACCGCAUAAAAACUUUAAACACAAGAUUUAAGUUUGAAAUAUGCAAUUGCAUCACUCAAAGAUGAUCCCGCGUUGUAUUAGCUAGUUGGUGAGGUAAAGGCUCACCAAGGCGAUGAUACAUAGCCGACCUGAGGGGGUGAUCGGCCACAGUGGGACUGAGACACGGCCCAAACUCCUACGGGAGGCAGCAGUAGGGAAUCUUCGGCAAUGGACGAAAGUCUGACCGAGCAACGCCGCGUGAGUGAAGAAGGUUUUCGGAUCGUAAAACUCUGUUGGUAGAGAAGAACGUUGGUGAGAGUGGAAAGCUCAUCAAGUGACGGUAACUACCCAGAAAGGGACGGCUAACUACGUG